rnacentral:rRNA from 1 species
AUGCUUCAGGUUGGCAUAUCCAUGGGUGAAAGUGGAGCACUGAUGCCAUCUUGGAUUGAACUGUGGAAUGAGUGGGAGAUCCAAAUUGUUGUUGUUCUCAGCUUCAGUCUGCAGGUUAUCCUCUUCUUCUUCGCAGGGAUCCGCCGCUACACCGUCUCGUCUCUUCUCAAGGUCCUCCUCUGGCUGGUGUAUCUGCUUGCCGAUGUUGUUGCGACGUACGCCUUGGGGCACAUGUCCUCAUCAUUGUUGAAGAAAUCGUCCAGUGAGCACCAGCUGGUGGCGUUAUGGGCACCAUUCCUCCUGCUGCACCUUGGCGGCCAGGACACCAUCACCGCGUACGCCCUUGAGGACAAUGAACUCUGGCGGCGCCAUCUGUUGAAUAUGUUUGUGCAGGUCGCCGGCACCGCGUAUGUGCUCUACAAGUACAUCAAUACGGGUGGCGCGACUUUUGUGCCUGCUGCUAUGUUGGUUCUGGCCGCUGGAGUUGUCAAGUAUGGUGAGAGGAUAUGGGCACUGAAGCUUGCAAGCAAGGGUGGUUCCCACUACAGAAAAGGGCUACCACGUGAGGCAUUUCUCUGGAGGAUUUAUGAUAUUUGCCAUAUGUUUCUCAGAAAGAAGCCUAAGGUCGAAAAUGAAUUCCUCCAGAAUGUGAGAAAAGGCAAUGAUACUGUGUGGGUGUUCAAUUGGACGUCGGAAGAAAAAGGAGACUGCUUCACCAAAAACAGACAAUUUGGAACUUAUGCGUUAAUUGUUAUGACAGCACACGGGUUGUGUGAUGUACUUGUCAAGCCUUUAAUCUUAGAGAGGAAUGAGGCGUCCAUACAGUCGACAGAUCAAAGAAUUGGACUACUGAGUUCUCCAUAUCGAUGGGAUGCUGACAAGAGAAAAGAUGAAUCAGCAGAUAGGAGGAGGCGUAUUGGGGAGGUGUACAAUACAAUAGAGGUGGAGCUGGCCCUGAUGUACGACAUGCUGUAUACCAAGGCACAAGUGAUCCACACGAGGUAUGGCUACUGCAUCCGCGCCAUUUCACUUGUGUGUUGCUUCGCGGCUCUUUUGGUCUUUACAAAGAGUAAAAGAGAUGGGUACAGCACACCCAACAUUGUUAUCACAUUUGGUCUUCUGAGCGGAGCUUGCGUGCUGGAGGUCGCAUCAGUUUUCAAGGCGAUUGGGUCGACCUGGACACAUGCCACCUUGAGAGGCAAUGGAUGGAACUGGCUGGCCAAUGCGAUUCUGUUCGCACGCUACUACCUCGUCGUUGUCAAGGAUGGAAGGUGGUCUGAUUCUGUCGGACAAUUUAACUUCACAUCUUUCUGCGCGCACAGCACCAAGGACGACCUGAAAAGAGCAAUAGCCGGUUACCUUGGGCUCCAGGACUUGUGGAGCAAAGCUCAUUGCACCAAACAUGCCAAGCUUUCACCUGCCCUGAAGGAGUCUGUGUGGGACUUGCUGAAAGGGAAGAAUAGCCAUAUGGUACAAAUUGAAGGUUUGGCCAUCCGGAGUGGGUACUGGGCUCGCAGGUUCAGAGGCUUCGACCAGAGCGAGCAGCUCGAUUGGAGCAUGGAAUUUGAAUUUCAGAAGAGCGUACUUAUUUGGCAUAUAGCCACAAGCACCUUCAUCUACAAGACUGCCGUCCAAUCGGAGCUGGUCGACAAGGACAUGGGUGAAGCUGUCAAUACUCUCUCACAUUACAUGAUGUACCUUCUCAUCGAGCACCCUGACAUGCUGCCCAACAAAUCAGCUGCUCGAGACAUGUUUGAUGAAACCCGCACCUCUUUCGAUUGGUAUCCAAGAUUGAACAACUUUUGGACUUCUGGAUCAAAGUUACCAAAUUCGGAAAAUGCUGUGCUGAAGGAUGCAGAUAGGCUUGCUCACAUAAUGAUUGACAUGAAGUUGGGGCUCACACAUAAGAUGGUAAUAAUCGGAACGGUGUGGAUGGAGAUGUUGUGCUAUGCAGCAACCAAUGCAUCUGAGGGAUUCCACUCCAGGCAGCUCAGCAAUGGUGGCGAGUUUCUGACCCACAUCCUGCUCCUCACUAAACAUGGUCCUGUUAAACCCCCGAUAGAAGUGCAUCCCAAAGUAGCUGAUGAAACUGUGGAACCUAAUGCUGGCCCAGUCGAGCUGACCGAGGACGAUUGUUGCAACGAUGAAAUCAUCGAAAUCCACUGA